GUAAACGGCGGCCGUAACUAUAACGGUCCUAAGGUAGCGAAAUUCCUUGUCGGGUAAGUUCCGACCCGCACGAAUGGCGUAACGAUGGCCACACUGUCUCCUCCUGAGACUCAGCGAAGUUGAAGUGGUUGUGAAGAUGCAAUCUACCCGCUGCUAGACGGAAAGACCCCGUGAACCUUUACUGUAGCUUUGCAUUGGACUUUGAAGUCACUUGUGUAGGAUAGGUGGGAGGCUUUGAAGCAGAGACGCCAGUCUCUGUGGAGCCGUCCUUGAAAUACCACCCUGGUGUCUUUGAGGUUCUAACCCAGACCCGUAAUCCGGGUCGGGGACCGUGCAUGGUAGGCAGUUUGACUGGGGCGGUCUCCUCCCAAAGAGUAACGGAGGAGUUCGAAGGUUACCUAGGUCCGGUCGGAAAUCGGACUGAUAGUGCAAUGGCAAAAGGUAGCUUAACUGCGAGACCGACAAGUCGAGCAGGUGCGAAAGCAGGACAUAGUGAUCCGGUGGUUCUGUAUGGAAGGGCCAUCGCUCAACGGAUAAAAGGUACUCCGGGGAUAACAGGCUGAUUCCGCCCAAGAGUUCAUAUCGACGGCGGAGUUUGGCACCUCGAUGUCGGCUCAUCACAUCCUGGGGCUGUAGUCGGUCCCAAGGGUAUGGCUGUUCGCCAUUUAAAGUGGUACGUGAGCUGGGUUUAAAACGUCGUGAGACAGUUUGGUCCCUAUCUGCAGUGGGCGUUGGAAGUUUGACGGGGGCUGCUCCUAGUACGAGAGGACCGGAGUGGACGAACCUCUGGUGUACCGGUUGUAACGCCAGUUGCAUAGCCGGGUAGCUAAGUUCGGAAGAGAUAAGCGCUGAAAGCAUCUAAGCGCGAAACUCGCCUGAAGAUGAGACUUCCCUUGUGGUUUAACCACACUAAAGAGUCGUUCGAGACCAGGACGUUGAUAGGUGGGGUGUGGAAGCGCGGUAACGCGUGAAGCUAACCCAUACUAAUUGCUCGUGAGGCUUGACUCU
rnacentral:rRNA from 1 species